GAUGAACGCUAGCUACAGGCUUAACACAUGCAAGUCGCGGGGCAGCAUGGGGGUUGCUUGCAAUCCCUGAUGGCGACCGGCGCACGGGUGAGUAACGCGUAUCCAACCUGCCCUUCACCACGGGAUAACCCGGCGAAAGUCGGACUAAUACCGUAUGUUGUCCAUUGACGGCAUCCGAUUUGGACGAAAGGCUUAGCGGUGAGGGAUGGGGAUGCGUCCGAUUAGCUCGACGGCGGGGUAACGGCCCACCGUGGCAACGAUCGGUAGGGGUUCUGAGAGGAAGGUCCCCCACACUGGAACUGAGACACGGUCCAGACUCCUACGGGAGGCAGCAGUGAGGAAUAUUGGUCAAUGGGCGGAAGCCUGAACCAGCCAAGUAGCGUGCAGGAUGACGGCCCUAUGGGUUGUAAACUGCUUUUAUGCGGGGAUAAAGGGGCCCACGU
rnacentral:rRNA from 1 species